rnacentral:rRNA from 1 species
AGAGUUUGCUCCUGGCUCAGAACGAACACUGGCGGCAUGGAUUAGGCAUGCAAGUCGAACGAGAACGCUUCCUUCGGGAAGUUAGUACAGUGGCGAACGGGUGAGUAACGCGUGGGAAACCUGCCCUUCUGCGGGGGAUAACAGUUCUAACGAGCUGCUAAUACCGCAUAAGACCUUUGAUUCGCAUGAUUCAAAGGUGAAAGAUGGCCUCUCUUUGAAGCUGUCACGGAAGGAUGGUCCCGCGUCCCAUUAGCUUGUUGGUGGGGUAAUGGCCUACCAAGGCGACGAUGGGUAGCCGGCCUGAGAGGGUGUCCGGCCACACUGGGACUGAGAUACGGCCCAGACUCCUACGGGAGGCAGCAGUCGAGAAGCUUCGGCAAUGGGCGAAAGCCUGACCGAGCGAUGCCGCGUGAGCGAAGAAGGCCCUAUGGGUUGUAAAGCUCUGUCAGAUUGGGAAGAAAGCUUCGGGGUUAAUACCCCCGAAGUGUGACGGUACCUCAGAGGAAAGCACCAGCUAACUCCGUGCCAGCAGCCGCGGUAAUACGGAGGGUGCAAGCGUUGUUCGGAUUCACUGGGUAUAAAGGGUGCGCAGNCGGCCCGAUAAGUCAGGGGUGAAAUAUGACGGCUCAACCGUCAAACUGCCCCUGAAACUGUCAGGCUUGAGUCCAGGAGAGGUAGGUGGAAUUCCAGGUGUAGCGGUGAAAUGCGUAAAUAUCUGGAGGAACACCGGUGGCGAAGGCGGCCUACUGGCCUGGAACUGACGCUCAGGCACGAAAGCUAGGGGAGCGAACGGGAUUAGAUACCCCGGUAGUCCUAGCCGUAAACGAUGGGCACUAGGUGUUGGAGGAGUCUACCCCUUCAGUGCCGCAGCUAAUGCAUUAAGUGCCCCACCUGGGGAGUACGAUCGCAAGGUUGAAACUCAAAGGAAUUGACGG